rnacentral:rRNA from 1 species
GGAUUGAACGCUGGCGGCAGGCCUAACACAUGCAAGUCGAGCGGUAGAGAGGUGCUUGCAUCUCUUGAGAGCGGCGGACGGGUGAGUAAUGCCUAGGAAUCUGCCUAGUGGUGGGGGAUAACGUUCGGAAACGGACGCUAAUACCGCAUACGUCCUACGGGAGAAAGCGGGGGACCUUCGGGCCUCGCGCCAUUAGAUGAGCCUAGGUCGGAUUAGCUAGUUGGUGAGGUAAUGGCUCACCAAGGCGACGAUCCGUAACUGGUCUGAGAGGAUGAUCAGUCACACUGGAACUGAGACACGGUCCAGACCUCGUACGGGAGCAGCGAGUGGGAAUAUUGGACAAGUGGGCGAAAGCCUAGAC